rnacentral:rRNA from 1 species
UACGGGGGGGGCAAGCGUUGUUCGGAAUUACUGGGCGUAAAGGGCUCGUAGGUGGCCAACUAAGUCAGACGUGAAAUUCCCAGGCUCAACUUGGGAACUGCGUCUGAUACUGGAUGGCUUGAAUUCGGGAGAGGGAUGCAGAAUUCCAGGUGUAGCGGUGAAAUGCGUAGAUAUCAAGAGGAACACCUGAGGUGAAGACGGGUUGCUGGGCCGACACUGACGCUGAGGCGCGAAAGCCAGGGGAGCAAACGGG